GAUGAACGCUGGCGGUAUGCUUAACACAUGCAAGUCGAACGGACUCUUCGGAGUUAGUGGCGGACGGGUGAGUAACGCGUGAGAAUCUGGCUUUGGGUUCGGGACAACCACUGGAAACGGUGGCUAAUACCGGAUGUGCCGAGAGGUAAAAGAGAAAUGGCCUGAAGAUGAGCUCGCGUCUGAUUAGCUAGUUGGUGAGGUAAAGGCUCACCAAGGCAGCGAUCAGUAGCUGGUCUGAGAGGAUGACCAGCCACACUGGGACUGAGACACGGCCCAGACUCCUGCGGGAGGCAGCAGUGGGGAAUUUUCCGCAAUGGGCGAAAGCCUGACGGAGCAAUAGCGCGUGAGGGAAGAAGGUUCUUGGGUUGUAAACCUCUUUUCUUAGGGAAGAACAAAAUGACGGUACCUAAGGAAGCAGCAUCGGCUAACUCCGUG
rnacentral:rRNA from 1 species